GUUGUUUCACCUGGUGCGCAUUUUCGCUGACGGAACUGAAUGUGACCGAUUGUAAACAGAUGCGGGAUGGCGGGCCCUGGGGAAGGACGUCCUGGUGCCACAUUGCAUUUAUCACUCUGAAUUACUGCCUUACAGACUGCAGUGAUUUAAUUGAGGCACUUGUCUGAAUGUGGCAACACUUGUUCUAGACAGCACUGUUUGUACUCGCCUUACCCAGUGCUGAUACUGAUAGCUGGCAUAGCGGUCAGUUCUCAUUAGGUUCUUGAUUAACAACAUUGGCUCAUAAAAUGACAGUCCUGGAAGGGGUUCAGGACUUUGUGGACCAUCUGUUUUGCUACACUUUCUUUUGGGUUCGGACAGCAGAUGUUUCGUCUGUGGUUCCCUCAGGCCUUUCGAUCCUGCCGUGUCUACCCUCACACACGUAAGGAAUCGGUCCGUCCGCUCCACCCCUCUGCUUCCUCUGUGUCGCCAAAACUGUCAAGGUGAUGGAGGGUCUGGAGGUCGAGGACAUAAGCCCCGCCCUCGAGGCCACUGAGGACUUCUUGCACUGCCUCGAUGACAAUCAAGGAGAUGGCCAGGUACGUCCGCCCAAGCAUAAAGAGGCCUCCACCUUGGACAGGUUAAACUCCAGUGGGGUGUGGGGGCUACUGACAGGAAAGCAAUCCGAGAUAUCACCCAGCAAUAUGGCGUGGGCGGGGCAGACGUCUUUCACUGUGCUUGGCCUGCGACAUGGAAAAAGGAACCGGGCAAGAUCUACCAACGAUUUGGCGGCUCAUGCCAAAGAAACAAACUCUACCACCAAUACAUGCAGCGGUGGAUUCAAACGUGGCCACAACCGCUCCCGUUCAGACGUCAACAACCGCACUUACACCGAUAAUGGCAUACCUGCCAUUGACAAAAAUACACUCAAGAACAUGGCACUGAAUGACCACAGAGAUGCUCAUAAGGAAAGCAGCCCUAGCCUGGUGAAGCAGGGAACUCUGGAGCAGAGAGAGGGUCUGUGGGGACGCUGGACCUCCUGUCACGUGGAGCUUACACCCUGUGAGCUGCGUCUCUACAGCCUGGACAGCAGCGGCAACCAGCAGCUAUGUGCUGCCCUCUCGCUGUCCCACUGCCAAGGAGUGAGCACGCCCCAGCCGCAGGGUGGACGUGUACUGCAGGCUGUCUUCUUCAACAGCACUCGCGUGCAGUUACGCGCACCCUGCCAGUGGGAGGCACUGGAGUGGCGUAGACUCCUCUGGGAACGUGUCUUGGCUGCCCGUCCAGCCAAUCGCAAAGGGGAGCCGGCCCGUGCCAACUCCCCUACCCCUCACGAACCCCAUCCAGAUGCGGUGACGGUGCCAGUCCCUCGACCCCUGGUACGUCCCACGGCCCUACCACUGUUCACCCAACACUGUGCUGAUGUUCUUAAGGCUGGCCUUCUGCACCAACUCACCGACCUCAACAACUGGAGGGCCUUCACGUUUGUACUGAGCCGCACCGAGAUGCAGGCCUUUCCGACCGAGGGAAGAGGCCCAGUGUCGGAGCCAGUGUUCAGGUACCCGCUGGCCUCCUGUCUGGCUGUGCAGUGGGACGAUGAAGACGGAGACACCAGCUCCCGCUUCCAGGUGGUCUUCCCUGAUGAUGUGCUGUGCUUGCGGACCGAGAGCGAGUCCAAGGCCCAGGACUGGGUGGAGGCAUUGCGCACGGCAGUGACGGCUCAGCAACCACAGUGGGAGAAUAACCAAGUGGUGAUAAGGAGUAGGCUAGUCAGGGAGCAACGGCACAGGGAGGCCCAGAGAGCUAAACGGCAGUCCGUCACUACUAGCUUUCUCAGCAUCCUUACCUGUCUGGCUGUGGAAAAGGGUCUCACGGCUCAGAGCUUCCGAUGUGCAGGAUGUCAGAGGCCAGUGGGUCUGUCACGGUGCGAGGCCAAAGUUUGCUCUUACAGCGGCUGGUACUACUGCCCAAGUUGUCACCAGGACAACCUCUUCCUCAUACCUGCUCGUCUGCUGCACAACUGGGACACUAACAAACACAAGGUGUCAAAACAAGCAAAAGAGUUUCUGGAGUUUGUUUAUGAGGAGCCCCUGUUAGAUGUCCAGCAGUUGAACCCGUGUCUGUAUGUGCAUUGCGAGGCGUUGGUGGCCGUUCUCAAACUGAGACAGCAGCUCCAGUCUCUCAGGGCUUACCUCUUCAGCUGUCGGGCCACAGUGGCAGAAGACCUCCGCCGCAGGAUCUUUCCGAGAGAAUACCUGUUACAGCAUGUGCACCUCUACUCAUUGGCAGAUCUGCAGCAGGUCAUAGAUGGAAAGCUUGCUCCCUUCCUCUCUAAGGUGAUCAAGUUUGCCAGCUCUCACGUCUAUAGCUGUAGUCUGUGCCGGGAGAAGGGCUUCAUCUGUGAGCUUUGCCACACUGGCCAGGUCAUCUAUCCCUUCCAGGAGAAUGCCACCAAAAGGUGCGAGGGCUGCGGUGCCAUCUUCCAUGCCGAGUGCCGGAUGCGAGCCCAGCCUUGCCCGCGAUGUGUGCGCAGAGAACUACACAAGAAGCCGGCGUCAUUCUGGAAGAGGCACGGCCCUCACGACAGCCCUGAUGACGAGGUGCUGGACUGCUUUGAGCUGAACACCUGAGACGGUUUAUCGAGAGCGCUGCCGAGCACACUGCACUAAUGAAGUCCAAGUGCUGCUGCAUCCAACAAGGACAAGAUUCCGUGCUUCCUCGGUGGAAGUGCUCCGUGAAAACCGAGAAACAGAGGCGUUUUUUUUUUUUAUGUUCUCCCUCACCUGAGAGAGAUGGGCACAGAGACAAUAAUUCAGCUCCCGAAGAGCAGAGUCUUCAUAAUGAUACCAAUUUACCCUUCCCUUUCAUCUACCAAAUGACAGCCAGGGCCAACCGACAAAUACAGGCAAACAUACAGAAAAUAGCAGUGGGCAUCUCUUCCUGGACACCUCACCAGCAAACAGAAGCUUCAGAUAUAAAUCACAUUCAGCAUUACUGAUAUAAAACACAUUGGAACUACCUGCACAUUCAAAAAACAGUUACUGGUUAUACUGGACUUGAAACAUUCUGGCUGGAGCUGUACGCUUGAUGUUUGACACUCCGUCGGAGAUUUACUGAGAUUUACAUCAUUACUGGCCAACAGUGUCACUUAUUGAACUCUUUGAGAUGGGUCUAGGUCAACAUACAUAUCAAUUGCUACCAUGUUACAUUUUGUUUUAUGAGAAAAUGUGUUAAUUCCAUUAAGCUUACGUUUUGCACCAAGAAGAUUACUUCUGAAUGAGAUUCUGUCUUAGUUUACGUAUGGUUGGUGUGUGAUAGGACAGUGUAGAUUGAUGGAUGAUCAUGUUAGCUGUUCAGAAUAUUUGGCUCUAUUUAUUGAAUCUGUGUCUUUUUGCUUGCCUUAAAUUAAAAUCCAAUGCAUUGGCCUGUUGAUCUUCAAUUAGCAAGCUAUAGUCACUCAAAAAAAUGUUUCAGUAUUUAUUAAAAUAAUCAGAAUAUCAGGCUAUAGAAUAUAUUGUAAUAUAAUCACUUAGUGCUUUCGUUUUUUGGUAACCUUUACUUACCUUACUAAAAAAAAGGAAUUGCCCCAGAAUCUGACGAUCUUGUUUUCCCAUAAGAGAACUCGUCAUUUUACCAUUUUUAAACUUGAACUGAGCUAAAUGCACCAUGUUUUACAUGAUACUAUAAGAUGCAAUGGUGUAUUUGCAAACUGUUCGAUUUGAAAGUUUGAUGUAUGAUGUUAUAUUACAUUAUUUGCACUGUUCUUUAAAAUCAGGGAUUCUUAACACACUGAAUAAUGGUCAUGGAGGGACAAACAAAAAGGAAACUCUGUGGAUGUACUUGGUGAAUAUCUUUUGUUCUUUCAGUACACCAAAUCGGUCUUUUAUUUUCAUAUUUGUUGAAGGUGUAAUGGAAGUUUCUUUUUCUGCCAUCAUGUUGUUCUCAGUAGUAUAUUUACAUAUCGGUUUUGUUUCAGAUUUAUUGUAUUUAUAUUCUUCACUGUAAUAUCUGUAUCAGUUUAUGGAUUUUCCCUGUGCUUUCUUGUAUUCUGCAAACUCUUCAUUACAGACAACCUCUUAUGCAACUACAAAUAUUUGUGUUUCAGUACAGGUUCCUUCCAGUUUUUCUCUUCUUUUAUUUAUUUUUUAUUUUUUUACCACUGUUGCCAAUAAAGUAAAUUGCUUAACACA